rnacentral:rRNA from 1 species
UACGUGGAGGUGCAAGCGUUGUCCGGAAUCAUUGGGCGUAAAGCGCGCGUAGGUGGCCUCAUAAGUCCGCUGUGAAAGUCAAAGGCUCAACCUUUGAAAGCCGGUGGAUACUGUGGGGCUAGAGUACGGAAGAGGCGAGUGGAAUUCCUGGUGUAGCGGUGGAAUGCGCAGAUAUCAGGAGGAACACCAAUAGCGAAGGCAGCUCGCUGGGACGUUACUGACACUGAGGCGCGAAAGCGUGGGGAGCGAACAGG